GACAGAGGUGCCGAGCGUUAGGCGGAAUCACUGGGCUUAAAGCGUGUGUAGGCGGGGCGUUAAGUGCCUUGUGAAAUCCCAUGGCUCACCCAUGGAACUGCUUGGCAUACUGGCGAGCUUGAGCCACUUAGGGGCAACCGGAACAAACGGUGGAGCGGUGAAAUGCGUAGAUAUCGUUUGGAACGCCAAUGGUGAAAACAGGUUGCUGGGAGUGCGCUGACGCUGAGACACGAAAGCCAGGGGAGCAAACGGG
rnacentral:rRNA from 1 species